GGGUGAAGCAGGAACCGGUGGAGCUCCAGGCACCAGAGGAGACCCUGGGGAGCCAGGGGAAGAUGGGCUCGAGGGGCCACCAGGGAGACCUGGAGAGCCAGGCAAGGAGGGUGAUGCUGGUGAUGCUGGAAACAUGGGCGAGCCAGGACCACAGGGGCAGAAGGGUGAUGCUGGCCCCAGAGGCCUUCCUGGAGCACCAGGACCAGGAGCUGGUACAGGGGAUCGUGGAGGACAAGGCCGUAAAGGAGAGAAGGGACAUGAAGGUUUGCUGG